GCAGACGGGUGAGUAAUGCAUGGGAAUCUACCCAGCUCUACGGAAUAACUCAGGGAAACUUGAACUAAUACCGUAUGCGCCCUUCGGGGGAAAGAUUUAUCGGAGUUGGAUGAGCCCAUGUCUGAUUAGCUAGUUGGUGGGGUAAAGGCCUACCAAGGCGACGAUCAGUAGCUGGUCUGAGAGGAUGAUCAGCCACACUGGGACUGAGACACGGCCCAGACUCCUACGGGAGGCAGCAGUGGGGAAUAUUGGACAAUGGGCGAAAGCCUGAUCCAGCCAUGCCGCGUGAGUGAUGAAGGCCCUAGGGUUGUAAAGCUCUUUCACCGGUGAAGAUAAUGACGGUAACCGGAGAAGAAGCCCCGGCUAACUUCGUGCCAGCAGCCGCGGUAAUACGAAGGGGGCUAGCGUUGUUCGGAAUUACUGGGCGUAAAGCGCGCGUAGGCGGAUCGGUCAGUUAGGGGUGAAAUCCCGGGGCUCAACCCCGGAACUGCCUCUAAUACUGCCGAUCUAGAGUUCGAGAGAGGUGAGUGGAAUUCCGAGUGUAGAGGUGAAAUUCGUAGAUAUUCGGAGGAACACCAGUGGCGAAGGCGGCUCACUGG
rnacentral:rRNA from 1 species